rnacentral:rRNA from 1 species
CCUACGGGAGGCAGCAGUGAGGAAUAUUGGUCAAUGGACGAGAGUCUGAACCAGCCAAGUAGCGUGAAGGAUGACUGCCCUAUGGGUUGUAAACUUCUUUUAUAAAGGAAUAAAACGAGGCACGUGUGCCUUUUUGCAUGUACUUUAUGAAUCAGGCUCGGCUAACUCCGUGCCAGCAGCCGCGGUAAUACGGAGGAUCCGAGCGUUAUCCGGAUGUAUUGGGUUUAAAGGGAGCGUAGAUGGGUUGUUAAGUCAGUUGUGAAAGUUUGCGGCUCAACCGUAAAAUUGCAAUUGAUACUGGCAGUCUUGAGUACAGUUGAGGUAGGCGGAAUUCGUGGUGUAGCGGUGAAAUGCUUAGAUAUCACGAAGAACCCCGAUUGCGAAGGCAGCUUACUAAACUGUGACUGACAUUGAUGCUCGAAAGUGUGGGUAUCAAACAGGAUUAGAUACCCCUGUAGUC